CCGAGUGACGUGUGUCCUCGGGAAUUUGCUUCGCGUCGUCAAAGGUCGCGACGUCCUACGCGGGAAUGUGCGCGUAUUUCUCACGAUUUCGUGUGUUCAGCAUUGUGUAUUUCACCGUGGUGAUUAUGGAAUUGCGAUGUGCGAUGGCUUCGAUCUGCGGACAGCUUGAAGAGCGACUGAUGCAGGUCCGGCAACAUUUGGCGUACUUGGCUGAUCGACUUCAACCACCGACCGGAACUUGGAAGGCUGGAAAGUAUCCUGCAGAUCGAGGAAACCCCUGAUAACCUGACGCUGCUUCAGAUUCGUUUCACCAUCAAGGUUGCACGUAUCGAGAUAAGCUAAUCCCUGAGGAUCGCUGCUUCUCAGAAGCAAAAGAUCGGCCGGUACCAGUUCGUUGUUCGAGAGGUGAACCAGGUCGCCCACCUUGACAUCCUUCCACGCCACCUUCAUGUAUCUGUCGCCUUCGCUACAAUGAAAUCACAAGAGAAAUCUCUCGUCAAGAAACUAAGGCACUACUUUUGAGUGUUAUUUAAGCGACCACAUCGAAAAAGGUCAAGAAGGAGAAGAGAGGGCAGAGAAAAAAGAAACUGAUUGUACUCGAACGAUCUCCAUGCUUUACGCUACAUCGUGACGGAU